ensembl:ncRNA C14F11.24 ncRNA
UGUGUGCACACAGCUCCAAACGAUUGAUGUGUGUGUCGUCAAAAAACAUGAGUCAAUGAGCCGAGCAGUAAAUAAGUGAAGCUGCUCAAAUAACUGUACAUCACUUUCGUAAUCCUGAAUUCAAUUGAAUUGAUGAUUUACGCUUGGAUA